CUUGUAUUCUUUAAAUUUGUUUACUUGAAUUUGUAGGUUGCUCGUCAAAACAUGGACACGAAAAACAAAAGGCUCAGAGAUCUAUCAUAUAUGGCAAAAGAAUGGCUACAAACCAUUUUUGAUUUUAUACGGGUUACAACUUACAAGACCAGACUAAGCUCUGACCGAUCGGUCUUAAUGCGGAAGAUUUUAACAACCUCCUCAAGAUCCUUAGGUGUGCACACAAGUUCAGACAGCUCGAUGAGGGUUUGUGCCAAUCUCUACUAGGGAAGCAAGAACCACUUCAAGCACAUAUAUUCACGAGCCAAGGGGGCGUGACGAUGUCAAAGCAAUCCACGAGCAAUCUCCACCCAAGUUUUUUUCAUUAGGGGUCUUACCUUGGGGAUAGACGAUGGACCCGCCAUUCAUGGAAUCAGCUAGGGUUCUUCCAUUGCAGACCGAUAAUGUUCACAGAUGGAGGGUGAAUUCGGGUAACAAAACCCAACAUUAUUACCCGCUAUCAUGGUAACAAGGCGUAUGUUGGGAUGAGAUAUGAAGAGAUAAGUCAUUUUCUCUCUAAACCAAUCACUCAUAGUAUACCAUGGACGGUAGUAUGGAUAUGAGGGUCGACCCGUUUGGUAAUAUAGUUAACGGCUUAACGGCAACCUGUCUGCUAAUAUAAAUAAAGGGCGCCCUAUUUGGUAAUAUGGGGGUAUAAGAGUGGGCUUAUUUGAUAAUAUGGGUAAGAGUCCUAUCCGUUUGGUAAUAUGAGUAUAAGGGUCGACCCAUUUGGUGAUAUGGUUAAAGGCAACUUGGUUAGUACUUUUUCAUGUUUAAUAGAGGGUUUUUGCAAAUAGCAAUAUUUUAGUAAUUAUUUGUAGUUAAAAACACUAAAUAUUCAAUGGAACUUCCAUAUUUAGAUAA